AUUUUUGAAAUGGUUGUACAAGUGCCUAUAUUUUGACAUCAUGUUUGUGUAUUUAAAAUCGUGCAGACGAGAUAUUAUUUUCAUUCUGGCAUCGACAUGAAAGUAGUUCUUAUACUUAUAGCGUUGUUGGUAAUUGGCCGAGCAGAGGCUGGUCCUUUGAACAACGUUGGGGAUGGGUAUGGUCGACUGGGCAGGGCUUUAAGGUCAUCUGACACUGAUGAGAAAACACCUAAAGAACCGGAACCAAUAAAGGUAGAAUGAGAUGUCAUCAUUGUCUGACACCCACCACAGUAGAGCACCCACUACAUUGUCGUGUAUUUCCCAAACUCAUGUUGUUCUAAGAAGUA